rnacentral:rRNA from 1 species
UACGUAGGGUGCGAGCGUUAAUCGGAAUUACUGGGCGUAAAGCGUGCGCAGGCGGUUUUGUAAGCCGGAUGUGAAAUCCCCGGGCUUAACCUGGGAAUGGCAUUCGGGACUGCAAGGCUGGAGUGCGGCAGAGGAGACUGGAAUUCCUGGUGUAGCAGUGAAAUGCGUAGAUAUCAGGAGGAACACCGGUGGCGAAGGCGGCGACCUGGGUAGAUACUGACGCUGAGGCGCGAAAGCGUGGGGAGCAAACAGG